rnacentral:rRNA from 1 species
UAAUACGUAGGAGGCAAGCGUUAUCCGGAUUUACUGGGCGUAAAGAGGGCGUAGGCGGCUUUUCAAGUCGGAUGUGAAAUCUCCCGGCUCAACUGGGAGAGGCCAUCCGAUACUGUUGGGCUGGAGUGCAGCAGAGGGAGGUGGAAUUCCCGGUGUAGUGGUGAAAUGCGUAGAUAUCGGGAGGAACACCAGUGGCGAAGGCGGCCUCCUGGGCUGUUACUGACGCUGAGGCCCGAAGGCGUGGGGAGCAAACAGGAUUAGAUACCCUGGUAGUCCACGCCGCAAACGAUGGACACUAGGUAUAGGGAGUAUCGACCCUCUCUGUGCCGAAGCUAACGCAUUAAGUGUCCCGCCUGGGGACUACGGCCGCAAGGCUA